AAACAUAUUUUUUUAUGACGUUUUUUCACCACUUGCAGGCAAUGAUGAUUUUCACUUACAUAGAGUACUAAUUUGAUUAAGGAAAAAUCAUGUUCAUUCAUAAUUUUCAUUUUAAAAGUGUAUUCAUUCCUUCUGCAAAUCCAUUCUGUCAUGCCUAUUCCCCAAUAUCGUCAACGCGGAUAGUUCGUUAGUCGAAAAUACUGUAUAAUUAAACAAACCAAAUGGCAUCACUGGUGGUUCUUUUUUCCACUCCGCUAAACUGUCAUCUCAAACAAAAACAAAUGGAUCAUACAACUGCUAUGAAUACAUUCGACUCGUUUGCUUCCAUCAAUCGGUAAGUGAGAAAGAUGAUUUCUCCCAUCACCACAGUGCGGAUUUCCACUUCUAUCACAGCAGCCAACAACAUCCGUUUUACUGCAGCAGUAACCUCCAACCCCUGUUGGCAACGCCGGGGGACAGCAUCAACUGCAGCAGCAGCAGAAUUUGACCAUGGUAUGGUAUUGCGAAGAACUUUCCCCAUUAGAGGUUCCGUGCUUCGCGCACAUUCAAAAAUCCUCUUCAGACACGAAAACUCAACGACAAGGAGGUAUUUAUCAACUUGCUCAGCUGAAUUACCACCCGGAGGAACCCGAAUGCACUGAUUCCGUUGUAUAGUAGAAUGAAAAUAGGCGAGGUAAGCGAACGUAAUCGCAUGAUAUUUUAAUGUUCGCAUUUUUAUCCGGAUCAUACAACUGCUAUGAAUACAUCCGACUCAAUCAAUCGGCGAGUGAGAAAGAUGAUUUCCCUCAUCACCACAUUGCUUAUUUCCUCUUCUGUCACACCAGCCAACAGCAUCAGCUUUCCCGCAGCAGUAUCCUUUAAGUCCAGGGUGCUAUUCCGUGGAACAGCAUCAACAGCAACAGCAGCAGGACCUGGCCAUAGUAUUUCGAGCAAUUUUCCCCAUCGGAGAUCCCGUGCUUCACGCACAUUGAAGAAUCCUCAGCCACAUAUCUGUGUCAUCGAGGGCAAAGAGGUAUUCAUCAAUGUACUCAGUCGGAUUUGAAUCGUCAAUCCAGACAACCCGGAUGCACCGAUUCCAUUAUAUACCUUAUUUUUAUUAUACAUGGAUUUUUAUUAUUUUUUUUCAAUAAAAUGAUUAAAAUCGAUCAAUGUAUUUCCUUUUCAUUUUCAAUAACAAACCAAUACAAACAAGCAGCAAGCAGUGCUGGAAGCAGCGCUGCAAGCAGGUCGACGCCUUGCACAUGUUGGCGAAAAAGUGGCGUCAAGUUGUUCGAUGAAUGCAUAUGAAAGGUCGAUAACUCGAUUGCAAAGUGGCAGCAUUUGAGGUCGAUUGUUGACAUUUCAUCGACCCGAUCUUGGCAGGCAAAACGGAAUGUGGGAACCUUGGGUGAUGGCUGUAUUGGGUAGAAUGUCGUGUGCGGAGGAGUUGAAGGAAACCAUCAGUAUGUGGAACGAUGAUUCUAAUGAGAUUGCUGGUGUGAAUAUUCCUCCGCCGGAUCCGGUGGGCGAUCUCAUCGAUGAAGAAAACCUAAAUGAUGGCUCUUUUCAACUAAGUAAUAACCUCCCGAGGGGCGCGCCCUCCUGAUUCAAUACCAAGCAGCGAUUCGAAAAUAUAAUUUCAUUACACAAAAAACAUCUAAAAUACCAUGAUUAUUGACAAAUAUUCGUUCAUUAUAUUUCAAUUUUGAAACUACUAACAAAAAUACGCAAAAUAGUGUAAUU